AAAGGAAUAGACGGGACCCCGCACAAGCGGUGGAGCAUGUGGUUUAAUUCGAUGCAACGCGAAGAACCUUACCAGGGCUUGACAUGGCAUUAAAGGGUCUAGAGAUAGAUAGAUAGUUAUAAUGCACACAGGUGGUGCAUGGUUGUCGUCAGCUCGUGUCGUGAGAUGUUGGGUUAAGUCCCGCAACGAGCGCAACCCCUGUCCUUAUUUGCCAUCAUUAAGUUGGGAACUAUAAGGAGACUGCCGGUGAUAAACCGGAGGAAGGUGGGGAUGACGUCAAAUCAUCAUGCCCCUUAUGUCCUGGGCUACACACGUGCUACAAUGGCCGGUACAGAGAGAAGCAAGACCGUGAGGUGGAGCAAAACUCUUAAAGCCGGUCCCAGUUCGGAUUGAAGUCUGCAACUCGACUUCAUGAAGACGGAAUCGCUAGUAAUCGCGAAUCAGCAAUGUCGCGGUGAAUACGUUCCCGGGGUUUGUACACACCGCCCGU
rnacentral:rRNA from 1 species